GACAUAGGUGGCAAGCGUUAUUCGGAAUUACUAGGCGUAAAGCGAGUGUAGGCGGACGAUUAAGUCCGAUGUUAAAUCUCCAGGCUUAACUUGGAGUCGCAUCGGAUACUGGUCGCCUCGAGUGGGGUAGGGGGCAGCGGAAUUCCCGGUGUAGCGGUGAAAUGCGUAGAGAUCGGGAAGAACAUCGGUGGCGAAGGCGCUCUACUGGACCACAACUGACACUCAGGGACGAAAGCUAGGGGAGCGAAUGGG
rnacentral:rRNA from 1 species